rnacentral:tRNA from 1 species
AUUUAAAUAGCUUAAAAAGAGCGUAAUAUUGAAGAUAUUAAGGUAAUUGAAAAAUUUUUAAAUA